UCCAGAUAGGUACCAUUAUGAGACAAUUGCAGGGUGCAGUCAUCAAGCUGUAGAACAAAAUUCAGACCAUUAGAUUACAGCAGUCUUUCUCUCUAACAUAUCUCUAACACUGCCCUCCCAUUUACUACUACGCCAGACAAGAUGUCCCUAAAACAAACAAUAUGAUGGGAGCAGUACAGUUGUAAGUAGAGUUUCUGAGCCCCUGGAUGCAGACAGAAGGAAGAAAGAGCUGUUUUGUGAGCCACUGAAUGGCCCCUGUGAGGACAGAUAUAGCCAAGAGACAGAGCAAAGGCCAGGCACUAACCAGCCUCAGAGGGUGCAGGAACAACAAUCCUAGGCAGUGGCUGGGGGUGGACUGGAAACCUGUGCCAGCCUCCUACAAAGAAGACCUAGGAUGAAUCAUCCCAAAACUCUGGCUAACUCAUUGACCAGGAACACAAAAUAGUUACUGAUCAAGAGAGAAAACUAAAGAAGCUGAGAGAAGAGCUAGAAAGGAACAUGAGCUAGUCUCUCACCAUGACAUAACUCAGUGUCAAAUAACAAAUAAUGAGGAAAAAAAGCCUUCCCAGGGCAGGAGAACAGGACAACAUUUACCAAGGGCCAAGUGAAUGUACAGGGCUGUCCUGCCUCAGCACUAGGGUUAAGUGACCAUCUGCUCAGAGAAUCCAGCCCAGAAGCACAGAAAUGGACAUAUGUGAGUCCAGUUGAACGCGCUGCUGGGACCAUCAUGUGCAGCACUGCACUGUGGGUUCUUCUGCAACUGCUUCCAAGAUCACAAAUAUUGUAAGCUCCAGAUGUGCUGUACUGCUAAAUACAAAAUCCACUCUGACAGCCAAACAGAACAGGGAACGAUUAAGGCUGGAGAGGACCUCUAUGAUCAUUGAGUCUCACUGUUAACACAGCACAUGUUAACCACAAAAGUAUGCUCCUCCAUGCCACAUCCACACGUCUUUUGAACACUGCAGGGAUGGCAAUUCCACCACUUCACUGGAGAGCCUGUUCCAACACCUGGUCACUCUUUCGGUGAAGAAAUUUUUUCUAACAUCCAAUUUAAACCUCUACAGGUGGAACUUGAGGCCAUUUCCUCUUGUCACAGAAUCAUAGAAUGGUUUGCGUUGGAAGGAGCCUUAAUCACCUACUUCCAAUCCCCUAUGUCAUAGUUUUCCUGCUGCACAAUGGGUUCCACUUCCUCCUGUUGGUUGCCCAUGCCCACGCUGCAUGCGUAUGUGUAGAUGUACUUCAUUUGGGUGAUAAAUCCCACUGCCUUUUCUUGGGAAGAAGCUCCGAUUCCUGCAUGAGCAUUCCCAAGUGCUUCUGCAGUUUCUAGCACAUCAAUAAUCCUUGCUGCUGCAUGGAUCUCUAUCCCCUACCACUAACAGGACAGCGGACCAAAGGACCUCAUUAGCACACUGUCUCUCAAACAGUGGCAUGCUGCCUCCAGGUCUGUCUUCAGUGAUCGUGAUUUUAUGCCCUCACCCUUCCAAAUCUUGUUUAAAGCUGUAACUGCACCAGAGGGGGAAGUGCUGCAGCCGAAAGGCUGGAACUGGGUUUUCUGGUUCUGUUUGUUGUUAAUGCUGUAGUUGUUGUUGUUGUUUGUUUAUUAUACACACUAGUAAAGAACUGUUAUUCCUAUUCCCAUAUCUUUUUGCCUGAGAGCCCCUUAAUUUCCAAAAUGAUAAUAAUUCGGAGGGAGGGGGUUCAUAUUCUCCAUUCCAAGGGAGAAUGGAGAAUAUGAACCUUCCCUAGCAGACACCUGUCUUUCAAACCAAAACAAUCAAAGAACCCAAAAUGAAGAUGGUUUCAUUCCUAUGGAUUUAGCAAAAACAAACCAACAGUUUCAUUGCAUGCCUCCGUCUAUCAAAAGGCAACCAUGGCAAUGGUGAUGUAACCAUACAUCCCUGCUGCUAAGACCACUUUGAGAAGAGUCAAAUAUUUAACACCAUACUUAAUGCCCAUCUUCUGCAACAGGUGGCAGCCAAUGACUCUCUGAAGGUGUAAGCAGGGAUCUGAAACAGCCAGUGACUCAAGGAAAGGAAAUUACCACCCUUUAUCACUUCCAUAGAUUUUUCUUUCUGCUCUUUUUAAUACUUAGAAAGAAAAUCAAUUAAAGUCUAUCCUUGAUGAAUUACCUCUUUUAAUUUCCCAUCCAAGCUUUGAUUCUCAGUACCUGUUCAGGAAAAGCAUAAUAAGCAGCCACUCGUCUUAUCUGGCAGUCAACACCUAAACUUAGUCACUCUGUUUCCUGCCACCGAUUUAGAUACAAGAAAGGAAGACAAAUAGUGUAUUCUGGAUUAGCUGCAUUGGAAAUACUGUAGAAAAGCUCAUUUACAGUUAGUGAUAGAGUGUGACUUUUGCAAUUUGAAAGAAAAUUCUCUGGAGAAAAGAUAGAGGAUGUCAAGUUGUAUUUCAAAAUUUUUUCCAUUUUUUUUGCUUUUCUUUUUUGGAUUUUUCCCUGGUGAAGGAGUAAGCCAUUAAAUAAGGUGACAUAAGAUUUUACUCUGAUUCCUAGGGAUUACAGAAAGCAAAGAACCUGCAAGUGCAACCAUCUAAUAUUAAAAAUACAAUAGCAGUGCUACUCUGUCUCUUUCCAGUUACAAAGGAGAUUAUUAACCUAUGUUAAUUCAAAAUACACUCUUCAGAAAAGAAAGACUAAAUACUAGUCUGGGAAACUUUUUCCAAGUAGUUCAGGGUAUGUAAUGAAAUGCUAAUUUAUUCAAAGUAAUGCCAAAAGGCAAACUACUAAUUAGAUAAGUGUUGUGCUGUCUCUAUGGAGAUUAGGAGAUUUGCCCACAAUUUCCAUUUAUACUGCAUAAUUAGAGAAAAGAAGUUGAGCCUUACUAAUAUCUUGUGACUUUAGGGUACAAAAAGCACUAGGGGAACAGGAAGUCCUUCAUUGACAAAAUAAGUAAGAAUAGUACAUUGUACUUAUGUUCAUCUCAUUUUCAUAGUUUCAGCUGAACAUGGUAUUCAUUCAGGCUUUAAGGAUCUGUACAUUGCAUGCUGCAUUUUGUUAGCAGGAGUUACAGUAAUGAGAGAAAUGGCAAUAUCUUUUAUUUCCCUUACUUAAUUCUGAGUCUUGCCAAAAAGUUGGGUGUUUUUUAUUCUCUUUCAUGUGUACACACAAAGAUGGAAGCGAUCAAAACAACACUUUAGAAGUUGGUUCUUUGGAAAACAUCCAUGGUAUAUUUCUGAAUCCACAUGAACAUUUUUGAAAUCUCUACAAAGAGUGGGACUGCCUAGGAGUAGUCUUAUUCACACAAGUGAGGAAACAAAAACACAUGCCACAUUCAAAAAAAUAAGUGCUUUAGUCAGACUCACCAGCUGUGGGUAGUCAGACCUGUGCACUGGGUUUACAGGAAGGAAGCAAAGAAAUUAAGACUGUCUGUACUCAGGUCAUCCUCAUUAAAAAUGUAAUUGAUAUACCAAUUAUCAUCUUCAGUUUCAUCCUGAAAUGGCAAGAUCUGUACUCUGUCAUGACAAGAUCCGUAUCAAGAGGUAGCAGUUGCUUAGGUGCUGAUUCACUGAUUUAUAGCUGUCUUUUUGAACAAGAGGAGAACCUGGAAAAAGCUUCUUAAGCAGCACUGACCUCACUAGCUACUCACUGAUUUUCCAUAACUGACCAGAAACACAGAAACAGUGAGACAAUCAGAUGCUUGUGUACAACAGCCUGACAUAUAAGUAGAGCAACUAAAUCAAACCACCAUUUCUGUAAUAAAAGUUCUAG